rnacentral:snRNA from 1 species
GGAUGGGUGGACAAUCUGGCUGUGAGGUGAGUAUACCCUUCCUCCUUCACUGCUUCAUGUGUGUCUCUCUACACUGAAGAGGACAACCUUCUCCCCAAUCGAGAGAACUGGUCAUAGGUCUAGGCUCUAGGAGUAGUGGCACUCCAUGCUAGCACCUCCAAACAAGCUCUCAAGAGCCAUUUCUCUCUCUCUGGAUUUUAUUUAUUUAAAAUUUUCUAUAAUGAAUUCAUAUAACACUACUGUUUUAUUUUUUAU